AAAACUUUCAACAACGGAUCUCUUGGUUCUCGCAUCGAUGAAGAACGCAGCGAAUUGCGAUACGUAAUAUGACUUGCAGACGUGAAUCAUUGAAUCUUUGAACGCACAUUG
rnacentral:rRNA from 1 species